rnacentral:rRNA from 1 species
GGCCCUAUGGGGUGCAGCAGGCGAGAAACCUUUGCAAUGUGCGCAAGCACGACAAGGUUAAUCCGAGUGUUUCCUGCUAAAGGAAUCUUUUGUUAGUUCUAAAACCACUGAUGAAUAAGGGGUGGGCAAGUUCUGGUGUCAGCCGCCGCGGUAAAACCAGCACCUCAAGUGGUCAGGAGGAUUAUUGGGCCUAAAGCAUCCGUAGCCUGUUCUGUAAGUUUCCGGUUAAAUCCAUUAGCUCAACUAAUGGGCCGCCGAAAAUACUGCAGAACUAGGGAGUGGGAGAGGUAGACGGUACUCGGUAGGAAGGGGUAAAAUCCUUUGAUCUAUUGAUGACCACCUGUGGCGAAGGCGGUCUACCAGAACACGUUCGACGGUGAGGGAUGAAAGCUGGGGGAGCAAACCGGAUUAGAUACCCGGGUAGUCCCAGCUGUAAACGAUGCAGACUCGGUGAUGCGCUGGCUUGUGGCCAGUGCAGUGCCGCAGGGAAGCCGUUAAGUUUGCCGCCUGGGAAGUACGUACGCAAGUAUGAAACUUAAAGGAAUUGGCGGGGGAGCAC